GUGCUAAAUGAAUAAUGGGAAUAAUGAUAGUUUUCAAUAAGUUUAAACCUCAAAUAUAUUAUGAAUACCAAUUUAAUUUGUAUUCCCGUGAGGCUAUUGAUGUGUUAAAAUAGGAUUUUUUAAGCGUUCAAUUGUACAUUUAACUAUUGUCUGUGACACUAACCUUAAUUGGAAUAGUUGCAUUAUAAUAUAGGACAAGUGCAAAUUGUGCAUCUAUUAAUCCUUUCAAGCUAGGGUAGUCUUGGUAGCCUGUGCUACAGCCAUACAUUUCAUUGUUGCUUAUUCGUGAAAGUGUUACAGAAUACAGUAAUCACAGUCAUAAUUCCUCUUCAUCUUCUGAUGUGUUGUCCACUGGUACGUGCUUGGUGAAUGUUCCUCUUGUGUUCGUUUAGCUAUAGUCAUCAAAUGCAGCGACAAUUUGUUUAUAAUGUUGCUAAUGUAUCUGAUGAUAUAUCUGUGAAGAAACCUUCAUGAAAG